rnacentral:RNase_P_RNA from 2 species
AAAGACAGCUGGGCAAUCGCUGCCUCAUUUUUUGAGGGGGAGGAAAGUCCGGGCUCCAAUGGGCAGAGUGCCAGAUAACGUCUGGGCGGCGUGAGCCGACGACUAGUGCAACAGAGAGUAUACCGCCGAUGGCUGCUUGCAGUACAGGUAAGGGUGAAAGGGUGCGGUAAGAGCGCACCGCGCGGCUGGCAACAGUUCGUGGCACGGUAAACUCCACUCGGAGCAAGAUCAAAUAGGGUUCCAUAUGGCGCGGCCCGCGUUGGAACCGGGUAGAUUGCUUGAGCCUUACAGCAAUGUAAGGCCUAGACGAAUGAUUGCCGCUUUGUUUUCAAAGCACAGAACCCGGCUUACAAGCUGUCUUUUUCC